UGGAAAUGCGAAGAAAAUUUCAGUUGUUGGGCAGUGUUUGCGGCGAUUGGAAUGAUCGAGUGAUCGGAACGCGACGCGUUUGCGAAGCUAACCACUUCUAUGCGUUAGUAUCUCGCAUUACAAAGCAAUGGCUCAGGUAAUCCGAUGUGUGUAUUCAUUGCCAAAGAGUGAACUUGUGCUUUGUUUCUGGAUUACAUAUUUGGCGAGCAGUGAUUUGUGACCGUGACGUCGUGUUCGUGUUGUUUUUCCUUCCGCCUCCGGUACAGCUUGACCCUACCACUGGCAGGGUAAUCGAAAAAAAGAGAGCUUAUUUGUGGCUUCUUUUGAUAUUCUGUAGUGAAAUUGAAGUUGAAGUAUGUGAAAUGUAUGCCACAAUGGAAUUAAGAUGUUUUCACACAUUCAAGUGCAUGAUAAAUCAAUGUAUGUAUGUAUGUGCAUACUUACAUGUGCAUAAAUGUGUAGCCAGUAACUAUUAAAAGUAAAAGCGGGUAAGAAAGCGAGUGAGUGUUAUUUAAUAUGUGUCCAAAUGAAAAGAAAGACUCUGCUUGUCGGAUAUCUGCAGCUUUGAAAAAAACAAGAAAACAAAGAAGAAUGUGUUAUACAUAUGUGGCAUAUAUGUACAUUCUCUACAUAUGUACGUACAUAAAUGUGCAUUCUAUUGAGGAAUAAUUGUAUAAGUGUCGUCCAGUUGCAUUAAUUGAAAUACAAAACAAACAAAAGUCACAAAACAGAGAUCGCACAAACCAUACACAUACAUCCAUACAUAAAUACUAAAUGGAGCACAUACUUUCAUACGUACAUAAGUUUGUGUUAUUCGUGCUAUUAAGUUGACGCGCCAACACCCGCAAACACACAGCUGGAAAUUCAAUGACAGUGGGCAGUAAUGGAGAGAAGACCUCAAAGAACUGUGUUUAUGGGUUCUGAUGCAUUCCAAUACUGUGGCCUUCACUGUGCAUUGAUGCAGAUUUCAGCUACCGUUGCUUGCAUAGCAAUACACUCAGCCUGAAAGCACGCUACGAUAAUUGUUGGCAUGACAACCGACGAAGUGAUUUUGCGGCGCGACAAGGCUGCGGCAAAUGGCGAACCAUUCACCGAGCCGCCACCGCGUCUACGCGGUCAAAGCGCUUACUUGGCG